rnacentral:tRNA from 1 species
GCGGGGGUGGCGGAAUGGCAGACGCAUCGGACUUAAAAUUCGAGGUCAUUAUGACGUGAGGGUUCAAGUCCCUUCCUCCGCACCA